ensembl:lncRNA
GUUCUUAUUACUCUAUUCAUGUUAGUAUUUUGUAGUGUAGGUUUUUUUUUUUUUCAUUUUAGCCAUUCUGACAAGUGUGCAGUGAUAAUUUGCAUUUCCCUAAUGAUGAGUGGUAACAGCUUUUAGUGUCUUUAUUUGCCAUCCUUAUCUCUUCGGUAAAGUAUCUGUUCAUGUUUUUGUUCCAAUUUUAUAAAACAACUGUUGAUACAAGUCAUCUAUAGAAUAAGUUGCAAAGGUUUUCUCCAGGUGUAUGACUUGUGUUUUCAUUUCUUAAUGAUCUCUUUUGAAAUGCAGACUUUAAAAAAAAUUCCCAUAAAGUCCAGUUUAUCCACUUUUUUUUCUUUUAUGGUUCAUUAAUUGUGUAUAGAAAUCUUUGCCUAACUAGAGGUCACAAAGAUUUUUCUAUGUUUUCUUCUAGGAGGAUUAUACUUUUAAGUCUAUGAUUCAUUUCAAGUUGAUUUUUAUAUGUAUUAUGAGUAUGGAUCAAAAUUGUGUGUAGGGGGCAAAUUAUUCAACAUCACAGUAAUCCAAGUCUAUGCUCCAGCCACUGACACUGAAGAAGCUGAAGCUGACUAGUUCUAGGAAGACC